rnacentral:rRNA from 1 species
CAGCCGCCGCGGUAAUACGUAGGGUGCAAGCGUUAAUCGGAAUUACUGGGCGUAAAGCGUGCGCAGGCGGUUCGUUAAGACAGAUGUGAAAUCCCCGGGCUUAACCUGGGAACUGCAUUUGUGACUGGCGGGCUAGAGUAUGGCAGAGGGGGGUAGAAUUCCACGUGUAGCAGUGAAAUGCGUAGAGAUGUGGAGGAAUACCGAUGGCGAAGGCAGCCCCCUGGGCCAAUACUGACGCUCAUGCACGAAAGCGUGGGGAGCAAACAGGAUUAGAUACCCGCGUAGUCCCUGUCUCUUUACC